AAUAUUGCACAAUGGGCGCAAGCCUGAUGCAGCCAUGCCGCGUGUGUGAAGAAGGCCUUCGGGUUGUAAAGUACUUUCAGCAGUGAGGAAGGUGGUGCAGUUAAUAGCUGUAUCAUUUGACGUUAGCUGCAGAAGAAGCACCGGCUAACUCCGUGCCAGCAGCCGCGGUAAUACGGAGGGUGCGAGCGUUAAUCGGAAUUACUGGGCGUAAAGCGCAUGCAGGUGGUUUGUUAAGUCAGAUGUGAAAGCCCCGGGGCUCAACCUCGGAAUUGCAUUUGAAACUGGCAGACUAGAGUACUGUAGAGGGGGUAGAAUUUCAGGUGUAGCGGUGAAAUGCGUAGAGAUCUGAAGGAAUACCGGUGGCGAAGGCGGCCCCCUGGACAGAUACUGACACUCAGAUGCGAAAGCGUGGGGAGCAAACAGGAUUAGACACCCUGGUAG
rnacentral:rRNA from 1 species